GGAAUCUUCCACAAUGGACGCAAGUCUGAUGGAGCAACGCCGCGUGAGUGAAGAAGGUCUUCGGAUCGUAAAACUCUGUUGUUAGAAAAGAACACGAGUGAGAGUAACUGUUCAUUCGAUGACGGUAUCUAACCAGCAAGUCACGGCUAACUACGUGCCAG
rnacentral:rRNA from 1 species